GACGAACGCUGGCGGCGUGCCUAAUACAUGCAAGUCGAACGAAGCUGUUUUAACUGGUGCUUGCACCGACUUAAACAACUGAGUGGCGAGCGGGUGAGUAACACGUGGGUAACCUGCCCCAAAGCGGGGGAUAACAUUUGGAAACAGAUGCUAAUACCGCAUAACCACAGAAACCACAUGGUUUCUGUGUCAAAGAUGGUUUCGGCUAUCACUUUGGGAUGGACCCGCGGCGUAUUAGCUAGUUGGUAAGGUAGUGGCUUACCAAGGCAAUGAUACGUAGCCGAACUGAGAGGUUGAUCGGCCACAUUGGGACUGAGACACGGCCCAAACUCCUACGGGAGGCAGCAGUAGGGAAUCUUCCACAAUGGACGAAAGUCUGAUGGAGCAACGCCGCGUGAGUGAAGAAGGUUUUCGGAUCGUAAAACUCUGUUGUCAGAGAAGAACGUGUGCGAGAGUAACUGUUCGUGCAGUGACGGUAUCUGGCCAGAAAGCCACGGCUAACUACGUGCCAGCCGCCGCGGUAA
rnacentral:rRNA from 1 species